CGGGUGAGUAACACGUGAGUGACCUGCCUUUUAGACUGGAACAACUUACCGAAAGGUGAGCUAAUGCCGGAUGAGUUAUAUAAGUGCAUGUUUAUAUAGGAAAAGUUGGGGAGACCUGACGCUGAAAGAUGGACUCGCGUCCCAUUAGCUAGUUGGUAGGGUAAUGGCCUACCAAGGCGACGAUGGGUAGCCGGACUGAGAGGUUGGCCGGCCACAUUGGGACUGAGAUACGGCCCAGACUCCUACGGGAGGCAGCAG
rnacentral:rRNA from 1 species